rnacentral:misc_RNA from 1 species
GAUGAAGAACGCAGCGAAAUGCGAUAAGUAAUGCGAAUUGCAGAAUUCCAGUGAGUCAUCGAAUCUUUGAACGCACAUUGCGCCCUUUGGUAUUCCUUAGGGCAUGCCUGUUCGGGCGUCAUUUAAACCUUCAAGCUAAGCUUGGUGUUGGGUGACUGUCCGCUUCACGGCGGACUCGCCUCAAAAUUAUUGGCGGCCGGUACAUUGGCUUCGAGCGCAGCAGAAACGCGAACUCGGGCCCGUCGUAUUGGCUCCCAGAAGCUAUCUUCACAAUUUUGACCUCGGAUCAGGUAGGGAUACCCGCUGAACUUAAGCAUAUCAAUAAGCGGAGGA